rnacentral:rRNA from 1 species
AUUGAACGCUGGCGGCAUGCCUUACACAUGCAAGUCGAACGGCAGCACGGGAGCAAUCCUGGUGGCGAGUGGCGAACGGGUGAGUAAUAUAUCGGAGCGUGCCCAGUCGUGGGGGAUAACGCAGCGAAAGCUGUGCUAAUACCGCAUACGAUCUAAGGAUGAAAGCGGGGGAUCGCAAGACCUCGCGCGAUUGGAGCGGCCGAUAUCAGAUUAGCUAGUUGGUGGGGUAAAGGCCCACCAAGGCGACGAUCUGUAGCUGGUCUGAGAGGACGACCAGCCACACUGGAACUGAGACACGGUCCAGACUCCUACGGGAGGCAGCAGUGGGGAAUUUUGGACAAUGGGCGCAAGCCUGAUCCAGCAAUGCCGCGUGCAGGAUGAAGGCCUUCGGGUUGUAAACCGCUUUUGUACGGAACGAAACGGCCCUUUCUAAUACAGGGGGCUAAUGACGGUACCGUAAGAAUAAGCACCGGCUAACUACGUGCCAGCAGCCGCCGUAA